AGUGCUACCAAAAUAAAUAUAAGAGCUAGAAAUGUAAGGUGUCAUUAAUAUAACACAAGCACUAUCCUAAGCACUUUGCAUUUAUCUUGAGUAAUUAUCCUGAUAACCUUGUGUAGUUGAGACUAUUAUUAUUCCAUUUUACAGAUGAGGAAUUUUUUUUUUUUUUGAGACAGAGUUUCUCUCUUGUUGCCCAGGCUAGAGUGCAGUGGCAUGAUCUCAGCUCACUGCAACCUCCGCCUCCUAGGUUCAAGCAAUUCUCCUACCUCAGCCUCCUGAGUAGCUGGGAUUACAGGCAUAUGCCACCAUGCCCAGUCAAUUUUUUGCAUUUUUAGUAGAGAUGGGGUUUCUCCAUAUUGGUCAGGCUGGUCUUGAACCCCUGACCUCAGGUGAUCCACCU
rnacentral:lncRNA from 1 species